rnacentral:rRNA from 1 species
GAUGAACGCUGGCGGCGUGCCUAAUACAUGCAAGUCGAGCGAACAGAUGAGGAGCUUGCUCCUCUGACGUUAGCGGCGGACGGGUGAGUAACACGUGGAUAACCUACCUAUAAGACUGGGAUAACUUCGGGAAACCGGAGCUAAUACCGGAUAAUAUAUUGAACCGCAUGGUUCAAUAGUGAAAGACGGUUUUGCUGUCACUUAUAGAUGGAUCCGCGCCGCAUAGCUAGUUGGUAAGGUAACGGCUUACCAAGGCAACGAUGCGUAGCCGACCUGAGAGGGUGAUCGGCCACACUGGAACUGAGACACGGUCCAGACUCCUACGGGAGGCAGCAGUAGGGAAUCUUCCGCAAUGGGCGAAAGCUUGACGGAGCAACGCCGCGUGAGUGAUGAAGGUCUUCGGAUCGUAAAACUCUGUUAUUAGGGAAGAACAAAUGUGUAAGUAACUAUGCACGUCUUGACGGUACCUAAUCAGAAAGCCACGGCUAACUACGUG